rfam:Pteropus alecto contig4944, whole genome shotgun sequence.
GUCUACGGCCAUGCUACCUUGAACAAACCCGAUCCCGUCUGAUCUUAGAAGCUAAGCAGGGUCAGGCCUGGUUAGUACUUGGUUGGGAGACCACCUAGGGAGACCACCUAGGAAGACCAGGUGCUGUAGGCA